AAGGAGAAGAGAGAACGAAGAGACGAACGACCGGAAGAGCCUCGCCAUUGCUCGCUCGUCUUCUCCUCACCGACUGACCUCCGAUGGCUAUUUGAGAUGCUGCGUUGACUCCUAAUCGAUGUUUCGAGAAGACACUAGUUACAAGUGGAGAGGGGUUUAGGGUUUGUUCAUCGUCGCGGAGAAACGGCGGAAGGAGGAGAAGCGAGCUCGGGAAGGGGCCGAGGUCAGUGUCUUCUCGGUCGACGGGGAAAUCGAGUGACUCGGUGUUGGCGGAAGUGGAGAGGAUUGCCAUAGGAAGGGACGUAAGGGCGCCUCUCGAUUUUUUUUUUCUUCUGCUGCCUGAAAUGCGCUAUGGUUCUUGUGGUGGAUUUGUUCUUGCCUCGAAUUUCCCAUUCAUGUUUUUUCUCGUUGAAUGUUAGUCCUUGAGUUUGUUUCUUAUGACUUUAAUGAUGUUGUUUGUGUUCCCUUCUUUGUUUGAUUCUUUUCGCUAGGUUAUGUCACGUAAAUCAUUUUGAGAAAGCAAGUUGUUUCUUCUGAUUGAUUCUAGCUUAUGUCAUGGUUGGUGUUGUUUAAGUUUACUUUAUUUUUCCCAGUCCUGAUAAAUGAUCUGUUGUUCUAUCCUCUUCUUUGAAUGCCUGAUUCUUUUGUUGAGCUUAUCAUCUGAGCUUGUAUUCCAUUAGAAUCGAAUUGUAAGGCAGUUAACCUCCGAGGUGAACCAAAGAUUAAUGAUGGGCAAUCCGUACACAAAGCGUUGUGCUGAUAAUAUCACUAGUCUUUAAUCUUCCUAGUUAACUCACAUUUUUCCCCUUUGUUCCCUCUAAAGUUCAUUUAUUUUCUUCCUCUUCUACUUCCAUGUUUCAAAUCCUUAAGAUACUCCUGUUUCUGCGAAUUACAUAAACCUGUUGUUUCUUUUGGUGUUUCUACUUUACUUGUAGGUGCGCCUACCUUCCCUCUGAAUCUUCUAUAAUCAUAAGUGCACAAAAUGAUUUUUUCAGUUUGUAUGUUCAUGAAACGAGCAUCACACUUUUCAUAUUUUUUAAAAAAGAUUUCCUGUAUUACAUUAUAUAUUUUUGUUUGUUUUCAUGUUUCUGAGGGUGGAUUGUCCUCUAAAAUUAGUCAACAAGCACAUCUAACAAAUAUUAGCCAUGGGUUGUUUCUGUUUUGUGUAUGGAGAUCAGGACAAACCUGCUCUUAUCACCUAUCCAGAUGUGGCUUUAAAUUGUGAGUUCGCAAGUUAACAGAAGUAGCUUCUAGCUUCCACUAAAACCUUCAGCUUUGAAUUGUUUUCUUAACAUCAAAGGUGAAUCUUGCCAUCAAUUUUGCAUUACAGUCGUUACUGUUGGUGUCAAUAGGACCUCACUUGUUUUAUUUUUCAAAGCCAAGAAAUUCCACAUAGCUGGAUAGCCUGGAUUGGAUGUCUUUAGCUCACUGGAGAAUCCUCUUCUUGAAGUAAUGCAUGUUUUUUUGUGUGUGUGCGCGCGCGCACGUAUCAAAAUUCAUUUCUGUGAUAGUUGCUUAGAUGUGUCAUGCUUCCAAGGACUAUUCGUUUCUUCUGAAGCUGCUUCGUUAGUGCUUCACAAUUUCUGCAUCUACCUUGUCAGUCCUCCAGGUCUUGAGGUUGGCAAUUUGUUGAAGCUUCAUUUAAGAGAACUUCAGUUUCCACUUAUAUGCACUUCUGGUUUUUAUGAUUCUCCAAAUAUCAUUGACAUGUCUAUUCCUUUUUGUGAAGGGGAGCCUUGGUACAAUGGUAAUGUUGCUAUCAUGUGACAACCUUUUGCAAUGCAAGGUAAAGCUAUGUAUAAUAGACCUCAUGUGAUCCGACCAUUCUCCAAGACCUAGCAUUGGCAGGUGCUUUUGGCACCGGACUGCCCUUUAUGUCUAUUCCUUUUUGUACUUGAGAUGGGAGCUUCUCCAAUUUCUUCCAAUGCUUCUAUUCCUCCAGUUAAUGAUUUGGGAGAUCAGGUUUCUGUUUUCUAACCUCUCUAUUCAUGCUUCCUAGGUUAGGUUCAAUUGUGUUUAGGAAUCUUGUCAGGGGCAUAUAUACUUACCCUUUUUCUGUACGUAUCUUUGAAUUAUCUCUGCCAAGUAUUAUUCUACUUGUAGUGCUGACUCUACAUAAAUUCUUUACAGAUUAUAUUUAGGGAACGUGUGUUAGGUCUGAUAGUUGUAUCAAAUUAGUUAUUUUAUCAUCAAAUAGUAACUUUAAGGUGGAUUGGCGUUGGAAAUUCUACUUAUCUUUAAAAUGAUAAACUGCAUUAAUAUGUCAUCAGGUGCUAUUUGAUUUCCUCUACUUCUAUGGGAUAUGUGGCUUCAUCAAAGAUUGUUUGCUCCAGCAAUACUUUAGUAAGGAAAUCUGUGGUUACACCACACAAUUUCCAGAGUCACAUAUAGCACAGGCCUGCAGAACUUUGAGUUUUCAUAUCAUUUUAUGUAUUUGAAUGCUUCAUCAAUUGGUACAUUAAGGCAUAAAAAGAGGAGGCUUAGUUUUUUAUUUAAUUUGCAGUUGCCUAGAUCAGAGGCAGAGUACAAAUAUGUGGUGUUAUCUUCACUCCAUUAAUCGAUAGUUCCCAAUGACUUUGAGGAACGGUCCAUUUAUUACUAGAAAUAACAAACUUUUGUGCAUAUGUAUUUCGUUAAUCAUCGUAACCUUGUUUCAAAAGUAUAUGUUGGCAGGAGAUACAACACCACUGAUGGAUUGCAGCAGCUUCUUUGCCGGACACUGCUAUUUGUUGGUGAGAACUCUCCUUUCCAUUGUUAUGUGCUUCACAUGAUGUCAAAACUAAUCAGAAGAUACAGUACAUGAUUGAGGUCACCGAGGAGCAGCCCUGUGCCAUUGUCUUAAUUGACAUAACCAGUACACAUUGUCGACGCAGUCCAUGCUGCAUCUACCCAGAGCUGCUUUCACCUGAAAGCUUGAGAGUAUAGUUAAAGCCCAUCAAAACCAGGUCUCCAAGUCUGACAGCAGCAAGGGUAGACCGUGACCAGAUGAAACUUUUGUAAUAAACUCAUCGCCUUCAGUUUUAUAUUUCUAUUGAAAGUCGAUCGGGUGUAGUUCAUUGAAAUUGACCAAUAUUUGAAGUCUUUGGUUGUAGAUAGAAAGGGAUGGAUUGGUGAGAUGAUUCUAUAGACAUCAUGUUCUCUUGUAAGUGACCGUCUGUUGUUGAUGAAAUAACAAUAGAUGCGAACAGUGGUCUCAACAAA